rnacentral:rRNA from 1 species
AGCGAACGCUGGCGGCAGGCCUAAUACAUGCAAGUCGAACGGAUCCUUCGGGAUUAGUGGCGGACGGGUGAGUAACACGUGGGAACGUGCCCUUUGGUUCGGAACAACUCAGGGAAACUUGAGCUAAUACCGGAUAAGCCCUUCGGGGAAGGAUUAUCGCCAUUGGAGCGGCCCGCGUCUGAUUAGCUAGUUGGUGGGGUAAAGGCCUACCAAGGCGACGAUCAGUAGCUGGUCUGAGAGGANGAUCAGCCACACUGGGACUGAGACACGGCCCAGACUCCUACGGGAGGCAGCAGUAGGGAAUCUUGCGCAAUGGGCGAAAGCCUGACGCAGCGACGCCGCGUGAGGGAUGACGGCC